AAUUUUAAUGUGCAGCGUUCUGUGUGCAUGUAGAUGUUUAGCUGUUAUUCUGAGGUUAAGCAGUUGAAUUAAUGUGCAACUUCGACUUUAUGUAGCGUUAGCGAGAAUGUAAUGUUGGCAAAACUCUGCUAGAAAGAAGCCUAUCAGGCUGAAGGAGAGCCAGGUGGCAGUGGCCAGAGGAUCCUGUUGGCUACACAAACAAGAUGCUCCAGAUGACCAACAAUGGGGAAACGCAUGCUGUACUUUUUCCCCUUUCAAGCGCUAAUUGACACUAAACCCCUUCUCUAUUAAGCUGUGGAUGGAGAUGCUCUGGGCAGGCAUAGGAUGCAGUGUAUGGAGUGGUUGUUGUAUGAAGGACGCCUUUGUUCAUGAAUAAAGGGCUCACCACCCAGUGACAGACAACCCAAAAUGUUAUGGGCUCGCACUACAAACCUCUACACAACAAAUCGGAUGGUAAGUAAAUUGUUUGGACCAUUGUGAAAUGUUAAAUCAAAUUCUUAUUGUGGAUAGCUUCUCAAAGUGAAAUGUAACAUUCCUUCAGUUUAGUAUUGCUUAAAUGUGGAACCUUUUUACAAGAGUGGUGUGUUAACAGUAAUUUAAACUACUCUGCUGUUUGUAUAAAUUGAGGGUAAAGGGAAUUGUUAAAGUGAAUGUUCCUUAUAGGCUUGAUGGCGAUGAACCCAGCAAUCUGACCGUUUCAACAUGUGGUGAUUGCCUCUUGUA